UCCUCAAAAUCACUUUCAACUGAAUACCGGAAGAAUUGCGUUUCAUUGAAGUAGUUCGUUAUAAAACACAUCUCAACCAAUCGUGUUCCAUCACCAUAGAAAGUUCCAUCGCACAACACCUAAACCUUCACUCCUGUUGAGUAGUUUCCAACCAGCCGGCUAGUCACUGCUGUACCACCGGUUGGGUGUACACCGGCGCCUUCAGGUUCGAUCACUCGGAAGCCCAAAACCGUUGGUUUCGUUCGGAUCUAUUUGGCCGUUAAGCCACCGCACACCUUCCGGUUCGAUCAACUGCGGCCGCUGCCGUAAAUUCUUUCUCGUCUCUGUGUGAGCCAGCCGCCAAAUCAUUGUUCUAUUGUCGUCAAUCCGUAGCCGUAAACCAUUGAUUCCUCAUCUGUAUCGCUUAGUUAUUAAGGUUCUCGUAUUUUUCAAGAGAGACACUAGGGUGGCAUACACUAGUUGAAAUCUACGAUUAUUGUUAUCCGCUAAUUAAGGUACUCAGGGGAACUUGGGGAAAAGUGCGAAGAGAGAAAACUAAAUGGCUAGAUUUGGAAAUAAGGAGUAUAAAUAAAUUGCUAUUUAAAUUUUAGACAUUUUUUUUAUUUUCAUUAAAAUACGUUGUGUGGUUUUAAAUUUUUAAACCUUUGGAGUUAAUGUUUUAUUUGAGUUAAGUUU